AUGGCUGAUGCUAGUUACCGUCAAAGACUGCGGGAUGCAGCUAAGUGUCGCCAUUAUGAGAAUACCGUCAUUUCUCAAACUGAGGCCAUUUUUCGCAGACCCAUCAACAUCCAAAGGCACCUGAAUGACCUUUUCAGAAUAGAAUUUCCCUUAAGACCAACUCCAGAUCAAUUUAUGGAAUUCUAUAGAGUUACUCGGGAACGCUAUGAAGCAAUCUCUUUUAUGUCAGUUCCUGGAGUUCUAUAUGAUGGCAGACCUGUUCAGAUACCAGUCACGGCCCCUAGUUACAUCGAGGAAAAGACUUACCACACCAUUGUCAUACGCCUUGACAAUGGAUAUGUUGUGGAGUUUCUUAUUCAAGAAUCAAAGAAUUAUGUUGUUGGGUUGAGAGUAUAUCGGAUUGAAAAUCAGAGAAAUGCUGCCCCUUGGUUUGUAUUUGAUACAGUGACAUUACCUCAAUACUUCGGAGAAUGCAUACCAAUCAACUAUCCCUUGAGCUACACUAAUGUUGACUUGGUCUUAUUCGGAGCUGGAGCUGUCUCGGAUGCAGUGGACUUCUUUUCCACAUAUCUGGAUAAUCCUCACCAGCAGUCUACAGAUCAGGGUAAACUGCACUGCCAGUUAUUCUUUCUGCUGUUUGGUGAAGGACCCCGGUUCCGUAUUGCGCAGCAGUGGGCUAGAGACAAUGCUCUUAAUGUCAAUUGGCAGCAUCCUGAAGCUGUCCUUCUCGAACUACUGCAUGAUUAUUCCAAGCUCUGCGAUUGUUCGUUUCAUCUACUCCAGUAUUAUGUUGAGAUCCCUUUUCUUGAUGCCCUUUUGGACGACCUGAAGGAGCUCAGUCCUUUUGCUCGUACCCUGUCUGAUGCUAAGAAAAGGUGGGAGCCAUAUGAGGCCAAAUAUGCGAGUGCUGGCUUGGUCUUCCGAAGAGGUGAUGGCAAGAUUAUAUUGGAAUCUUUGGUGGGUGGUGAACUGUUGCUCCUCAAUUACAAUUACAAGUUCUGUACAAGGAUUCAGAUGAGACAAGCAGGUUAUGAUGGUCAAUGGUUUGAAAGGCUUAGCAAGUAG
rnacentral:rRNA from 1 species